AAGAUCUUGGGGUUACAAUGACUGGGAAUCAAGUCAAAGUCAAAGUAUUUUGACUUUGACUUUGACUUGAUUCCCAGUCAUUGUAACCCCAAGAUC